GCUCGGCUUCCUCGUUUUGUCAGGUCAUAGCGCCCGAUUAUGGAAGAGGAAGGUUGAUUCUGAUGGUGUUGCUAUGUGGGUGCUCAGAAGUACUGUUGAAUUGAAAAUCUUCCUUCCGCAGUCGAAAUGGGUGGAGACACUGGGGUUGGCGGAAGACGAUAAUGUGAUGUUUCUAUUCACAGAUAGUGGGGGCAUUUUCGUGGUCCAUCUUGAGUCCGCGCAAUUUAAGAAACUUCCUGGAGAAAUAAACGACUGCUGGUGCCAUCCAUUCACAAGCUUCUUUGUUGCAGGCGUGGGUGUUGGACAUGAUGGAGUUGAAAUUGGACACAAUGCUUAAGAUGGCUAUUUGGUUAAACAUGCCACUGUGCUUUAUUGGUUGAGCAGGUACCUAAAGUUUCGUUCCGGUUGCCCAAAUGAAGAAAUGUCUUGUUGACAUAGACACUUCCAUUUUGUAUACCGUGGCCAGGGGUCCUUUCCAUGUGGGAAAAUCGACCCUUAACGAUGCAUGUACUGGAAAUCUAUGUAGUGUGCUUGCAGGAAUUAGUAUGUACCCUUAACGAUGCAUGUAGGUUAUCAAGCUUGCUCAAACAUAACCAAAGUGUUAUAAAACAGA